CUGUCUAGCGUUGAUUCAGCUAACGAGCGAGAUUAUCGCCAAUUACUUAGUCCGUUGGAUUUUUCCACUCGGUCUUCUAAUUGGGACUCCCUGCGAUUAAGCAGGAGGAAGAGGGUAGCAAUAACAGGUCCGUGAUGUCCUUUAGAUGCUCUGGGCUGCACGCGUGCUACAAUGUUAGUCACAAAGGGAUGCUCGCCUGAUAGGGUUAGCUACUCCCAGAAUGUCUAACGUAGUUGGGAUUGAUGAUUGUAAUCAUCAUCAUGAACCAGGAAUCCCUUGUAAAUGUGUGUCAACACCGCACGUUGAAUACGUCCCUGCCCUUUGUACACACCGCCCGUCGCUCCUACCGAUUGGAUGACUCGGUGAAAUCACUGGACCCUACGGGGAAAAGUUAUUAAAUCACGUUAUCUAGA
rnacentral:rRNA from 1 species